AGCACAGAGAGCUUGCUCUCGGGUGACGAGUGGCGGACGGGUGAGUAAUGUCUGGGAAACUGCCUGAUGGAGGGGGAUAACUACUGGAAACGGUAGCUAAUACCGCAUAACGUCGCAAGACCAAAGAGGGGGACCUUCGGGCCUCUUGCCAUCAGAUGUGCCCAGAUGGGAUUAGCUAGUAGGUGGGGUAACGGCUCACCUAGGCGACGAUCCCUAGCUGGUCUGAGAGGAUGACCAGCCACACUGGAACUGAGACACGGUCCAGACUCCUACGGGAGGCAGCAGUGGGGAAUAUUGCACAAUGGGCGCAAGCCUGAUGCAGCCAUGCCGCGUGUAUGAAGAAGGCCUUCGGGUUGUAAAGUACUUUCAGCGGGGAGGAAGGUGUUGUGGUUAAUAACCACAGCAAUUGACGUUACCCGCAGAAGAAGCACCGGCUAACUCCGUGCCAGCAGCCGCGGUAAUACGGAGGGUGCAAGCGUUAAUCGGAAUUACUGGGCGUAAAGCGCACGCAGGCGGUCUGUCAAGUCGGAUGUGAAAUCCCCGGGCUCAACCUGGGAACUGCAUUCGAAACUGGCAGGCUAGAGUCUUGUAGAGGGGGGUAGAAUUCCAGGUGUAGCGGUGAAAUGCGUAGAGAUCUGGAGGAAUACCGGUGGCGAAGGCGGCCCCCUGGACAAAGACUGACGCUCAGGUGC
rnacentral:rRNA from 1 species